rfam:Capsicum annuum cultivar Zunla-1 chromosome 10, whole genome shotgun sequence
GUCCCUUCGGAGGCGUUCGAUAAAAUUGGAACGAUACAGAGAAGAUCAGCAUGACCCUCGCACAAGGAUGACACACACAAAUCGAGAAACGGUCCAAUACUUA